rnacentral:misc_RNA from 1 species
GAUGAAGAACGCAGCGAAAUGCGAUACUUGGUGUGAAUUGCAGAAUCCCGUGAACCAUCGAGUCUUUGAACGCAAGUUGCGCCUCAAGCCAUUAGGUUGAGGGCACGUCUGCCUGGGCGUCACAUAUCGUUGCCUGAUGCCAGUUUCCACGUGAUGGGUGACUGUGCAGGGCGAAUGAUGGCUUCCCGUGAGCAUUGUUGCCUCAUGGUUGGUUGAAAAUUGAGUCCUUGGUAGGGAGCGCCGUGAUAGAUGGUGGUUGAGUGACGAACGAGACCCAAUCAUGUGAGACCCCUACCGAAUUUGGCCUUCAUGACCCACAUGCGUCUUUGGAACGCUCAUGACGAGACCUCAGGUCAGGCGGGGCUACCCGCUGAGUUUAAGCAUAUCAAUAAGCGGAGGA